AUUGAACGCUGGCGGCAGGCUUAACACAUGCAAGUCGAACGAGUGGCGGACGGGUGAGUAAUGUCUGGGAAACUGCCUGAUGGAGGGGGAUAACUACUGGAAACGGUAGCUAAUACCGCAUACCAUCAGAUGUGCCCAGAUGGGAUUAGCUAGUUGGUGGGGUAACGGCUCACCAAGGCGACGAUCCCUAGCUGGUCUGAGAGGAUGACCAGCGACACUGGGACUGAGACAGGGUCCAGACGCCUACGGGAGGCAGCAGUGGGGAAUAUUGGACAAUGGGCGCAAGCCUGAUGCAGCCAUGCCGAGUGUAUGAAGAAGGCCUUCGGGUUGUAAAGUACGUGCAGCGGGGAGGCGUAACCCGCAGAGGAAGCACCGGCUAACUCCAUGCCAGCAGCCGCGAUAAUAC
rnacentral:rRNA from 1 species